GCUUCUUUUACAUCAUUUCCCAAAUGUAAAACAGGACUGAAGAGGACAGAGUGUGGCCUUUUGAAGAAAACUAGUUCAGGACCCAGUCUUUGUCUCUGAACACAGCAGCACACCUUACAUGGUUUCUGCUUCAUCAUCUAUAAAUGAGAACAACAGCUUUUCUGUUUGUUUCUCUCAUCUGACUGUUUGGGGUUCAAACCAGAAAAAUGGUAAGGCACUCUAUGGUCAGGAAAUAUGAAAGUAUUUCUACAUAGGUAAAUAAAAGAUGCAUGACAACGUUGCCGUGAAUGAGAUGCUUUGCAACUUGUCUUUUGCCUCAACACAACAGAGAUGCAACAACUUCCUGUCAGUAAUUGUGUUUCUGGGGAAUGGGGGUAAGAAACUAGGUGCAAAAACUGAAAGGUAUGAUGCAGGGGAUGUAAAAGCCACCCUCACCUCCACCCCCUGCCAGAACAAAAAGAGGGGGUAGAGAACAAAGAUUUUAGUCAGCUGCCUCAAUGGUGAAGAGAAAGUUUGCAGGUAGUAGUGAUCGCUCCCGGUGUGCCAUGGGCAGAAGAGAAUGUAGUCUCAGCUCCUGGUGGUGCCAAGAAGAGGAAUGAAGAAGUCUAUGCCAAUAUGGCCAGGGCUGCAAACAGAAUGAGUUUCGGGCAUGGAAAACCAAUAUCAUAACUAAUGCUGAAUUUCUCUCUUUUAUCCUAUGUUCAUUUUUUUUGUCUGUCCUCCAUUUAUUGUCUGUGUACUUGAAUUAUAUAAUUCUAUUUUUACUUACAUUUUCUAUUUUAUCUCUGUAUACCUAGUUCUCAGUGGUUGCUUCAUGCAUAGUUCAUGCAAAAGUCUGUGGAUUUUUGGAAGACAAUCAUUCCAUCAACAAUAACCAUCAGUCAUAAUUUAGAUCACUCAGGGAGAGAGUCUUUGUAUUUACACAUGUUUUUUUCUGGCAGAAUUAUUUCAUCCCAAUGUGCCUUGUUUCUAUUUGCAAAAUGGACUUUAGUUAUUCUUGUGGGGGGCUGAUUUUGAGGUUUUGGUUUGUUUGUGGCUUUGCUAUUCUUAAGAGUCUGUUUGCUAGCAAUAAACUGUCUUCCUUUGUGUGGUAAUGUCCUCAUCUCCCAUUUUUAAAGGAUGUUUUCACUGCAUUAAAGAAACACAUGGAAAAGGACUACUUUUCUUGGCCUUCCAGCCAUGGUUUCUGGGCUGGGAAUGCUGCUUUGAAUUGGUCUUCCACGUGUGUUUUUCUGGGGGCUCAGUAAUUUUGUUGUUGUUUUGUUUUUCAAGACAGGUUUUCUCUGUGUAG
rnacentral:lncRNA from 1 species